AUAUUGGACAAUGGGGGCAACCCUGAUCCAGCCAUGCCGCGUGUGUGAAGAAGGUCUUCGGAUUGUAAAGCACUUUAAGUUGGGAGGAAGGGCUUUAGGUUAAUACCCUGAAGUUUUGACGUUACCAACAGAAUAAGCACCGGCUAACUCUGUGCCAGCAGCCGCGGUAAUACAGAGGGUGCAAGCUUUAAUCGGAAUUACUGGGCGUAAAGCGCGCGUAGGUGGUUUAGAAAGAUGGGUGCGACAUCCCCGGGGUUAAACUGGGAACUGCUUUCAUAACUGCUGAGCUAGAGUACGGUAGAGGGUAGUGGAAUUUCCUGUGUAGCGGUGAAAUGCGUAGAUAUAGGAAGGAACACCAGUGGCGAAGGCGACUGCCUGGACUAAUACUGACACUGAAGUGCGAAAGCGUGGGGAGCAAAC
rnacentral:rRNA from 1 species